rnacentral:rRNA from 1 species
CGGACGGGUGAGUAGUGCUUGGGAAUCUGGCUUAUGGAGGGGGAUAACUACGGGAAACUGUAGCUAAUACCGCGUAAUAUCUUCGGAUUAAAGGGUGGGACUUUCGGGCCACCUGCCAUAAGAUGAGCCCAAGUGGGAUUAGGUAGUUGGUUAGGUAAAGGCUGACCAAGCCGACGAUCUCUAGCUGGUCUGAGAGGAUGACCAGCCACACUGGAACUGAGACACGGUCCAG